CUAUGAAAUGAUGGAUAUUUACCGUUUAUCAAUCGGCAAUUACAUACAGACAAUGAUAAAUAGAACCAAUAAACCACCACAUCCUUGUCGGGCGUCAAACACAUGUCGCCGCUAGUAUGUAUUCUCGCCUGCCCAGUUCAUGGCUUUCAGCAACGGCGACAAACCCAUUAAUCACAACUGAUAAGGCCUGUAUAUCUGUGAAACCCAUUUACCCUUUACCAGUAUGUAUGAAGUCCAUUUACUUGCAACAUAAAAGACCAAAUCAGCAAUAUAGGACAGGUGUGAAAAUGAAUUAUGUGCUGGUGUCAAACCCAAGCAUUCAGAUCAUACUAAAACCCAUUUGUGUUCGGAGCAUGACAUAGCGAGCGCUCGGCACUGGACAUCAUGGCAGCCGCGCGCUAGGAACCCUGGUCCUUUUUGUGACUGUUCUCUCUUCAACCCACAGCUGGUUCAUCAGAAGCGUCCACGAUACAAAGAAUUGUUUCUGCAAGGCUGUCAACAACCACAACUACGGACAAGUCUUUAAAGACUUUGGCUCCAUCCAACACUGCCGGCGUCUUGUCCACUGUCCGUGCAGAGCCCGGGAACUCAUCACAUGUGGCACGGAGUGUGACCGGAAGGUCAAGGAGUGGGCGUGUGACCACGGGUGUGGUGGACUUCCGGCCGGUACAAAGGUCCGGGCAUCCUACAAAGCCAGCGUGUGUAACACCGGCACUGCAUCAGACGUCUACGUAUGUGGCCAACAAAACAACUGUCAUCGUGGCUGACUGAACGCGAUGAUAAUGCGUCUGUUAUCGCAAAACACGGCUGUUGACGUCUAAAGACUAAGAAAUAAAAUCCUAACCUGUAAA